GGUAGCCUAGUGGUUAGAGCGUUGGGCCAGUAACCAGCAGGUAGCCUAGUGGUUAGAGCGUUGGGCCAGUAACCAGCAGGUAGCCUAGUGGUUAGAGCGUUGGGCCAGUAACCAGCAGGUAGCCUAGUGGUUAGAGCAUUGGGCCAGUAACCAGCAGGUAGCCUAGUGGUUAGAGCGUUGGGCCAGUAACCAGCAGGUAGCCUAGUGGUUAGAGCAUUGGGCCAGUAACCAGCAGGUAGCCUAGUGGUUAGAGCAUUGGGCCAGUAACCAGCAGGUAGCCUAGUGGUUAGAGCAUUGGGCCAGUAACCAGCAGGUAGCCUAGUGGUUAGAGCAUUGGGCCAGUAACCAGCAGGUAGCCUAGUGGUUAGAGCGUUGGGCCAGUAACCAGCAGGUAGCCUAGUGGUUAGAGCGUUGGGCCAGUAACCAGCAGGUAGCCUAGUGGUUAGAGCAUUGGGCCAGUAACCAGCAGGUAGCCUAGUGGUUAGAGCGUUGGGCCAGUAACCAGCAGGUAGCCUAGUGGUUAGAGCGUUGGGCCAGUAACUGAAAGGUUGUUGGAUUGAAUCCCCGAGCUGACAAGGUAAAAAAUCUGUUGUUCUGCCCCUGAACAAGGCAGUUAACCCACAAUUUCCUAGGCCGUCAUUG
ensembl:lncRNA